CCUGCCCAGUGACUAUCAGUUCAACGGCCGCGGUAUCCUGACCGUGCAAAGGUAGCAUAAUCAUUUGCCUUUUAAUUGGAGGCUAGUAUGAAUGGGUAGACGAAGAUUUAACUGUUUCUAUAUUAACAUUAAAACUUAAACUUUAGGUGAAGAUGCCUAAAUUUUAUAGAAAGACAAGAAGACCCUAUAGAGUUUUCUUUGGUUGGGGCGACCUAGGAUUUACAUUAACAUCCUAUUAUCUCGAUAUAUUUAUCUUAUAAUUGACCCUAUACGGAUUAUCAAAACAAACUACCUUAGGGAUAACAGGCUUAUCUUCCUAGAGAGCUCUUAUUGAUAGGAUGGUUUGGCACCUCGAUGUUGGCUUAGAGUAACUUAAUACCGCAGCAGGUAUUUAAAGUCAGUUUGUUCAACUGUUAAUUCUCU
rnacentral:rRNA from 1 species